rnacentral:rRNA from 1 species
UACGGAGGAUGCAAGCGUUAUCCGGAAUGAUUGGGCGUAAAGCGUCCGCAGGUGGCUGUGUAAGUCUGCUGUUAAAGAGUAAGGCUCAACCUCAUAAAAGCAGUGGAAACUACACGGCUAGAGUGCGUUCGGGGCAGAGGGAAUUCCUGGUGUAGCGGUGAAAUGCGUAGAUAUCAGGAAGAACACCGGUGGCGAAAGCGCUCUGCUGGACUGCAACUGACACUCAGGGACGAAAGCUAGGGGAGCGAACAGG